rnacentral:rRNA from 1 species
UACGGGGGGAGCAAGCGUUGUUCGGAUUUACUGGGCGUAAAGGGCGCGUAGGCGGCCAGCACAAGUCAGUUGUGAAAUCUCCGAGCUUAACUCGGAAAGGUCAACUGAUACUGUGCGGCUAGAGUGCGGAAGGGGCAACUGGAAUUCUUGGUGUAGCGGUGAAAUGCGUAGAUAUCAAGAGGAACACCUGCGGCGAAGGCGGCUCUCUGGGACGGUACUGACGCUGAGACGCGAAAGCGUGGGGAGCGAACAGG